rnacentral:miRNA from 14 species
GCCUUGUUGGAGGAAGUGUGUCACUGGGAGUAGGCUUUGGGGUUUCAGAAGCCCAAGCCAGGCCCAUUGGCACUCCCUCUUCCUGCGGCCUGUGGAUC